AUUUUUUUUUUUUUUUUUAUAAUUCUUUAUUUUUGCGUGCACAAGAGUUAGACAUGUUGCAUCUUAUGCAUCGUUUGAGUAGGUAACAGGUUUAAACAUUUGUCAGAUAAUGCAUGUGAUCAGUUUUAGCACAUUUUUUCAUUAAGUUUAACAGGCGUAACAUCCUAGGUAGAGGUUGUGUCGUAUAGGGGUUUAGUCGUGUUACUCGUCUGUGGGUGCAGUACCUAGGUCAUGGGUUGGUGUCGAUGACGUGACCCUAUUGGUGCUAGGAAGUAUGUGUGGAGAUGCGGAGUGGUGCUAGGGUCCAUGUGGGUGCAGUAGGUGUAGUUUCGUCGGUCAUGUAGUCUGGUGAGUGGUACACGUGUUCCGAAGUGGCUUGGUCAUCUAGUUCCGCUGGGGACCUCUCAUGAGGGGUGGUAGCCCUAACCUAGGGGCUGUCGGGGGGGUAGGUUUUGGCUUAGGGUAUAGCUUAUGGUCUGGUAAUGCGGCAGCGCGCCAGCGUCCUCGUCAGCUAAGUCAUCUAGCUAGCGAUAAACAGAUAAGAACUUCAACAUCAGAAAUGUAUUGCGCGGAGGGUGGUGGGAAUACAGAUUGUAGUAGACAAGACAUAUGGAUAUCGCCGUUAAGCGGGCAGGGUUAAGAGACCUCUCUCCCCCUGUCCGUCAGGUGGCUUGCGUGUCCAUUCUCUGUCUUCUCGGCACAAACGUAUCCGAGGUAUCUGGAUUCCAUACGUGGGGAGUGCCCAGGUUGGGCAAGUUUUGCAGGCCCAAUUUUGUGAGUAGUGUAGGGGCCUCAGUCCCUGAGGUGAUUUUAUGGGUGGUCCCCUGGUGGGUGAUGAGCAGAGAGCGGGGGUUCCCCCAUCUAUAUGGUAUCCCCGCUGUACGCAGAUGGCCUGUGAGUUCCGUAAGCGACUUUCUCCACUGGAGGGUGGCCUUGGAUAAGUCCUGAUAAAAGGUCAGUUGGGUUUCCUCGAAAUCAAGCGGGGUCUUACCCCUGAUGGCGCUCAUGAUGUGCCCCUUGUCUUGCGGUAGGGCGCACCGGACAAUGACAUCUCCGGCUAGCGUUGCGGCGGCUCUAGGAGGGGUGGGUAGGCGGUAAAUCCCUGCAAAGGCGAGUUUCUUUGUUACUGCGGGAGGGAGUAGUGAUUGUGUGAGUCGCCUCACGUAAUGCGGUAGGUCUUCUUUGCUCACCGAUGCCGGGAUGCCUCUGAUUUUGAUGUGGUUGCGCCGGUUUUUGUCCUCCUGCGUCGCCAGUUGUAUUGCUAAGCGUUGCUGGUCUUGUUGUAGUUGGUGGAGCGAAUCUUGUAGCGUAGAGACUUCUCCCUGUAUUGUUUUGACUUGGUUUUCAGUAGUGGUCACUUUUUCUGUGAUCUGUUGC